rnacentral:rRNA from 1 species
AACGAACGCUGGCGGCAGGCUUAACACAUGCAAGUCGAACGGGUGUAGCAAUACAUCAGUGGCAGACGGGUGAGUAACACGUGGGAACCUUCCUAGGGGGUACGGAACAACUCAGGGAAACUUGAGCUAAUACCGUAUACGCCCGUAAGGAGAAAGAUUCAUCGCCCCUAGACGGGCCCGCGUCGGAUUAGGUAGUUGGUGGGGUAACGGGCCUACCAAGCCUACGAUCCGUAGCUGAUCUGAGAGGANGAUCAGCCACACUGGGACUGAGACACGGCCCAGACUCCUACGGGAGGCAGCAGUGGGGAAUCUUGGACAAUGGGCGGCAAGCCUGAUCCAGCCAUGCCGCGUGAGUGAAG